AUGGCUUCAUCCGAUUCCACGACGAGGCCACGGUGCGCUGACCAAGAGGACAUGCCGAGCAAGUGGGAGGAGGCAAGGUUGGACAAGACAAAGGAGAAGGAUGUGAAAACCCCUUCAUGUUGGUGUGCAGAUGAGUGCAAGGUGAGGGUCUCCACUGACCGGAAGAAGUCGUGGACGGAAGGAAGAAGAUAUUUUGUGUGUCCCAACUAUGCACAUGAUCGCGUGCGUCCCACUAACGCCUAUGACAUCCCACCGGUAUGUCAGAAAAGUAGGCUAUUCUCCAUUAUGAUUCAUUUUAUAUUACUAACAAAAACUUGUUUUGUGUGUAGUCACCUCCUCCUCUUUGCAAGUACUUCACAUGGAUAG
rnacentral:rRNA from 1 species